AUUGAACGCUGGCGGCAUGCUUUACACAUGCAAGUCGAACGGUAACAGGCCGCAAGGUGCUGACGAGUGGCGAACGGGUGAGUAAUGCAUCGGAACGUGCCCAGUCGUGGGGGAUAACGCAGCGAAAGCUGUGCUAAUACCGCAUACGAUCUAUGGAUGAAAGCGGGGGACCGAAAGGCCUCGCGCGAUUGGAGCGGCCGAUGUCAGAUUAGGUAGUUGGUGGGGUAAAGGCCUACCAAGCCAACGAUCUGUAGCUGGUCUGAGAGGACGACCAGCCACACUGGGACUGAGACACGGCCCAGACUCCUACGGGAGGCAGCAGUGGGGAAUUUUGGACAAUGGGCGCAAGCCUGAUCCAGCAAUGCCGCGUGCAGGAAGAAGGCCUUCGGGUUGUAAACUGCUUUUGUACGGAACGAAACGGUCUGGAUUAAUACCCGGGACUAAUGACGGUACCGUAAGAAUAAACACCGGCGAACUACGU
rnacentral:rRNA from 1 species